CGGAGAGUUUGAUCCUGGCUCAGGAUGAACGCUGGCGGCGUGCCUAAUACAUGCAAGUCGAACGCUUUGUGGUUCAACUGAUUUGAAGAGCUUGCUCAGAUAUGACGAUGGACAUUGCAAAGAGUGGCGAACGGGUGAGUAACACGUGGGAAACCUACCUCUUAGCAGGGGAUAACAUUUGGAAACAGAUGCUAAUACCGUAUAACAAUAGCAACCGCAUGGUUGCUACUUAAAAGAUGGUUCUGCUAUCACUAAGAGAUGGUCCCGCGGUGCAUUAGUUAGUUGGUGAGGUAAUGGCUCACCAAGACGAUGAUGUAUAGCCGAGUUGAGAGACUGAUCGGCCACAAUGGGACUGAGACACGGCCCAUACUCCUACGGGAGGCAGCAGUAGGGAAUCUUCCACAAUGGGCGAAAGCCUGAUGGAGCAACGCCGCGUGUGUGAUGAAGGGUUUCGGCUCGUAAAACACUGUUGUAAGAGAAGAAUGACAUUGAGAGUAACUGUUCAAUGUGUGACGGUAUCUUACCAGAAAGGAACGGCUAAAUACGUGCCAGCAGCCGCGGUAAUACGUAUGUUCCAAGCGUUAUCCGGAUUUAUUGGGCGUAAAGCGAGCGCAGACGGUUAUUUAAGUCUGAAGUGAAAGCCCUCAGCUCAACUGAGGAAUUGCUUUGGAAACUGGAUGACUUGAGUGCAGUAGAGGAAAGUGGAACUCCAUGUGUAGCGGUGAAAUGCGUAGAUAUAUGGAAGAACACCAGUGGCGAAGGCGGCUUUCUGGACUGUAACUGACGUUGAGGCUCGAAAGUGUGGGUAGCAGACAGGAUUAGAUACCCUGGUAGUCCCACACCGUAAACGAUGAGUGCUAGG
rnacentral:rRNA from 1 species